AUGACACAUUCCAUGAGUCUGGCCGAGGCCCGAGAGCUGAUGAUGGAGCUGAACAGUAACCUGCAGGUUUGGGCUGAGAGGACAACUCAGCUGGAGCACCUCGCUCAGGUAGGUGUCUGGACUCUUGGACAGCAGUGUUCUUCGGAGGACAUCGUGGCAAUUGAAUGUGUUACCAAGGGGAUGUUGGUUGCUGUACGUUGUAUAUUGUCUCACAGUCUCCGGCUUAUGUUCUGCUGCUGUCCCGAGCCUGUCGCUGAACGAAGGAACGAACGAACGAACGAACGAAUGAGGUGAACAUCCUCUCCUUUUGAACGCUCUCAGGUGUGGACGGCCUUCCAGAACAGACUGGCCUCCCUCUCGCUGGCCUUUGGACACGUACUGGAGGAGAAGCCUCAGGCGGGAAAAAGUUCCAGCUCUUUGGAGUGAAGUGGAAGAGAGCUGAUGAUCCACCCGCUCAGUUUUCCAUCCUCCAUCACCUGGUCGUCUUGCUCCACAGACCAUCUACAGCAUCUUCACAGCUCCUGUGGUCCACAGGCCUUCUCAGCUGCACACCUCGUUGGCACUUGUUGACCUGUGAUCGCUCACCGGCACUGUGGCCACUUACUCAGUUUCUCCAACAUUCCUCAUUCGAAUCUUCAAUAAAAACAUUAGGAAACUGAAUGGCA
rnacentral:lncRNA from 1 species